UACGUAGGGUGCAAGCGUUGUCCGGAAUUAUUGGGCGUAAAGAGCUCGUAGGCGGUUCGUCGCGUCGGCUGUGAAAUCCCGAGGCUCAACCUCGGGUCUGCAGUCGAUACGGGCGGACUGGAGUUCGGCAGGGGAGACUGGAAUUCCUGGUGUAGCGGUGAAAUGCGCAGAUAUCAGGAGGAACACCGGUGGCGAAGGCGGGUCUCUGGGCCGAUACUG
rnacentral:rRNA from 1 species